GACGAACGCUGGCGGCGUGCUUAACACAUGCAAGUCGAACGGAAAGGCCCUGCUUUUGUGGGGUGCUCGAGUGGCGAACGGGGGAGUAACACGUGAGUAACCUGCCCUUGACUUUGGGAUAACUUCAGGAAACUGGGGCUAAUACCGGAUAGGAUCUCCUGCUGCAUGGUGGGGGGUGGAAAGUUUCGGCGGUUGGGGAUGGAUUAGCGGCUUAUCAGCUUGUUGGUGGGGUAGGGGCUUACCAAGGCUUUGGCGGGUAGCCGGCCUGAGAGGGUGACCGGCCACAUGGGGACUGAGAUACGGCCCAGACUCCUACGGGAGGCAGCAGUGGGGAAUAUUGCACAAUGGGCGGAAGCCUGAUGCAGCAGCGCCGCGGGCGGGAUGACGGCCUUCGGGUUGUAAACCGCUUUAGCCUGUGACGAAGCGUGAGUGACGGUAAUGGGUAAAGAAGCACCGGCUAACUACGUG
rnacentral:rRNA from 1 species